UACGAAGGGGGCGAGCGUUGUUCGGAUUUACUGGGCGUAAAGCGCGCGCAGGCGGUCCUUUAAGUCUGAUGUGAAAGCCCACGGCUCAACCGUGGAGGGUCAUUGGAAACUGGGGGACUUGAGUGCAGAAGAGGAAAGCGGAAUUCCACGUGUAGCGGUGAAAUGCGUAGAGAUGUGGAGGAACACCAGUGGCGAAGGCGGCUUUCUGGUCUGUAACUGACGCUGAGGCGCGAAAGCGUGGGGAGCAAACAGG
rnacentral:rRNA from 1 species